AGACGUAACUCUUUAUACUUAUUAGGGGUGUUAAACCCCCUAGUAUUCCAUAUCCAUAUCAUAAUUUACGACAGCGCUGUUGUUGCCUGGUGGCCACUACCCCCUUAGCUUUAGGAGAAACUAGUUUACUCAAAUCCAUAAAAUCAUCUAGAGUUGGAUUAGGAGGACUACCUGGCUUCCCUUUUGGAGAAAUAACAGCAUCAACAAUAGGCUUGGAAAAAGCAGCUCCAUAAGCAACAUAUACAACAACAGGAGGAUCAACAACCACAACUUCCUCAUCGUCAGAAGCAACCAUGCGCCACCAAAACUUGCUCUACAUUCAAAGACACAGAAGGGCUCAAGGGAAGCUCACUCUCCGCUGCAAUAGCCUCACGUGCCCCCUGUUGGACUGAAGGACCCUUCGCUUCUGAAGAAGCCUCAAGUUGAACUCCAGCUCCCCUCCAACCUCCGGAGCAUAGCUGUUCGCUAGUGUAGCCUUUUCCUCAUCAGAGGACUCAGCUACAUUGCCCGAUAGUGAUUACGCCUCCGGUGAAACGAUAGGUUGGGUGCUUGUGUGCUUCUCAACCCACUUCAUCACAGAUUUCUUCCCAUAAGUGUGAGCUUGCGGAUACAAUAUAUCAAUAACAUUAAUUGCACCAUUCCCAGCAUAAACAGUAAGUUGAUCCUUAGUUUCCAUUGAUGGAUACAUCAAGACACAGAUGCGAAUAUAAGAACCCUCUCCGACGUACCUAUGAACCGGUUCACCAAACUGGGUAGCUGUCCAGCUAAUGCCCUUCGAAGUAAUCAAAGCAAGUGGUACCCCCUUUCAGAGUAAUCCAAACCGGCAGUUAUUCAGGCAAGCACCCCAGAAGCUCAAUCCCUGGAAACCAUCGACGGAGCAUCAUAGAUGCGUUGUGGAAAUGCCAAGAAUGCAAGAGAACCCAAUCACAUAGAUCCUUCGAGGAGAACACGAUGAGGAGGAAACCCUUAAAGAUCUGGGAAACAUGGAUAAAACAUUCAUAAUCAUAGAGAUGAUAAGCCAUAGAUCGGAUAACGCGGAGCGGAGAAGCAGAUCCAGUGAAUUGGGCAACCACAGCCG
rnacentral:lncRNA from 1 species